GAAAUGUUUAUUAAUCUGUAGUAUGUGUUUUUUUCUUGUUCUUGACGUUUUAAUAGUUGACUUAUCUUUAUGUCAUGAUUAAUUAAUUGAAUAGGUUGGAAGCUGCCGUGCUGGAUCUGGUUGCAGAUGAUAGUGGUGGCAUGCAGAAACAAAAAUCUAGAUUCCACUGGGAUAAGAGGAGUAAGAAGUACAUCAAGUUAAACAAUGGGGACCAUGUGACAGCUAGUGGAAAGAUAAAGACAGAGGGUGGUGCAAAAGUAACAGUUAACAAAACUGGCAUAUACAAGAGGUGAAAAGAGCGGUCACAUAAUAAAAUAUCCCUUAAAGGAUCCAGUUAUGAGGGCAAUGCUGAAGAAUCCCAAAGUUUUUCAGGGAAGAAGUGCAGAUUCAUUGUCUCAGUAUUUUGGGGAUCCAGCUAGGUGCCCUUUUGAACAAGAGCACUGGUGGCUGAUGGUUGUUGCUUGCUGGUCUGCUGCCGGUGUGCUGCUGCAGAAUUUUGCUGGGCUGCUGCUGUUGCAAUGUUGCUAUGAAGCAGGCUGCUACUAGAUGUUAGUCUACUGUAAAUUUGGGUUGUUAGUUUCAUGUUUUCAUCUUGUUAUCUGCUGUUUUUACUAUGGGUUUACAAUUUGGAUGUAUUUGAGUAUUUUAGUGAGUUUACCAUUUCAGGUUUUAUACACUGCUUCCAAAAGCAUAUUUUUCAACAGUGUUUUUUUGCCUACACAUCAACUUUAGGUGAUUUAAUAUCAAUGUUAUUAGUUUGUAAUAAUAGUGCCUGAGGGAUGCCUCUUGUAAAUAUGUAAAUCUUAUAAAAAAAUAUAAAUGAUUUUCAAUUUUUUUUGCC